UUGUGUUGUGUUGUGGUUGUCGAUAAUGGAAAAGUCUAAGCUGUGUACCGGUAGUACAGCUCCUGAGAUUUUUAAAAUAAAGAGAAGGAGAUCAGAGGGAGUGUAAUAGUUUUGACGUGACUUGAUAAUCACAAAUGCAACGUUACGUCCGUAUAAGUUAAUAGGGGGGCACAAAACUACAACACAAAAGUAGCGUGAAGAGACCGCAAUAAUAAUGUGAUUGCUGGCUUAUAGUAUAUGAUCCAACCCCCUCCGGGACCAUUCCACGAUUACUUCACAGAGUCGUGCCUCUCAAUUUAUACAUAUGUAAGUAUAUACGACAUCAUCAAUGAUAAAGUGUUAUUUUAGCGGUGAAUUUCAUACGAUACUCUUUCUAUUGAAUGGAGUAUAAUUUUUUUGCAGAUUUUUUAAAUUAAAAAAAAACUCUUGUAUCCAAAAAAGAUGUAAACAAAAAGGACAAACAUUUAAAAUCAUGAUAACUAAAGUAUCAAAAGAAAAAAAAAAAAAGGUGGCUUGAAUGAGAACGUGAACCAACUGCAUUUCACAUGCUUCGAAAAAAUAUUAGAUAGAUGUAUUAAAAAAACCGUACCCUCUCUGAUUCCUCGAACCCUCCUCUCAUC
rnacentral:lncRNA from 1 species